UGGAUAAUAUAUUUUUAUUGCACUCUAUUGCUGUUAACAAUUUACUUAGUGUACAGCAUUGCACUAAGUAUCCCUGAUAUAUUAGUUAUUAGGUAUCCAGGGAGAAUAUCUAAUAAAAGUAAAUUGAUGUUACAUUACAAUAUUACAAUAUUUUAAAUGAUUUCAUGUUUACCGGAGAAUUUCACUUCCGUCCGAUAGUGGUUUUUAAUAUUAGAUAAAUGUGCAUCGUAUUUGCCAUCAUCAUCUUUGUGAUUUGGAUAAAUU
rnacentral:lncRNA from 1 species